UUGAAGUGAUGAUGAUCUUAGGACACCUCUGAUUACUAUGAUUAUCAAAAGUUAUCACCUCUGAUCAAA